CAGAAGGAGGUUUGGGGAGUUAACUGGGAAAAACUGUCACUCCUGUAGUGCCUUCUCUCUGAGCUGGAAGGGAGAACGACUGCUCCAUUAACUAAUGGGAACUAACUAGUUUUGUGGAAAAACUAGGAGGUUCUUGGGUUUGGAGGAAUAUCUGGGAGGAGAUCUGAUCUGUGUUUCCCUGAAGUGCUGUGACAAUCUGGCUGUGACAGUUUGGUUAAGUUUUAUUUUUCAGCAUAUUCAUUGGAGAUGCAGAGGUAAUACUGAGUCAUAUGGAAAAAAGUAGAGAACCUAGGACCUGACAAGGCUGAUGACAAUCUUGGAUGGGUCCACCUUCCUGCCAACUUCUGAUCUUCAGACAACUGGAAAUAACAACUUGACCAGUCCAUGAGCCCUCUCCCCAGAAUUGGAUUUUUAAUAAAAUGGGAAACUUUUAAGCAUUUCUGAGGAAGACAAGUGCAAUGCUGAGUAGAAAAGUCAAGAUUCAAACACAGGACUCAUAAGAAGCAAAAAAGGUAAAAACAUUGGUAAAAAGUAACUUUUUAAAAUUCUUUUAUGGUGAAUUGACAGAGGUAGUCAGUCCCUCACUUUGAACUUUAUCAUCACCAGAGAUUGCAGAAUGAAUUAAUGAGAUAAAGUCCUCCUCCCCUUUUUAAAUCAAGUUCACUUACAUCUGUUUCUUGUUUGUGCAUUCACUUGGCAUAGAGGAGAGGGCAAUGGAUUUAGAGGCUGGAAGAUCUGGGGUAAAAUCUAAGCACUCAAACAGUUGCCAAAUGAUUCUCUUGGCAUGAAUUUCAUCGUUUGUAAAAUUAAAAAGUGUUGCUCAUUUUCUAAGUUCCCUCUGAACUCUGAAUCUAUGAUUCUAUUAUGCUGUUGGUCUAAUAUAACUUGAUAUCUCUAUACCACAAAUACAUAUAUGACCCUGAAUUAAACAGUUAGCAAACAUUGUCACCACCAAUUUAGUUUUUCUCCAUUUGAUUUUUACAAGUUUUUUUUUCUCUCUCUCAAAUGAAGCAGAAAGAAUUGAACCUGAUUUGCAUCUUGUCAGCAUGCUUGAGUUCAAACCAGAAAAUGAACACCAACUUUUAAGUCCAUAAUUUAUAAUCUGCCAAAGAAUGGACAUGUCCACCUACAAGCUGGCACUGGGAGAAUUCUCUAGAACCAAAAUUCUCUGUAACCCCCAAUCCUUUAUAAUCCAAACAAACAAAAUGCAAAGAAAACAAAAACAGUUUCUAGAGGGUGUGUACAUAGAUAGUCAGAGACAAAUAGACAUGAUAAAUUAUAGAUAGAAAGGAGAUAGAUAUGUAUACAGAAGAUAAAUAAAUGAUAUAUCAUAGAUAAAAAGAUAACUAAUACUUUUAAUGCUCUCAUUGAUACAUUGUCUUUGACUGCUUCUUUAUAUAUAAAUAUAAGGAAACAGCUCACUUUUUGUCAUUUUUUUUACCUCUUUUACUCAAUGCCCUUUCAAAGGAAACUAUAAAUUCCUUAUCCUCUAAAAUAGUCAGCAUACAAAUAAAAAGAAUUGAGAUCAUGUAAGUAAAAGAAAACAAUAUUGUUUGUAGGUCAAAGAUGUUUUGCUUGUUUUAGGCAGACAAACAAAUCUGAGAGAGAGAGAGAGACAGAGAGAC